rnacentral:rRNA from 1 species
AUUGAACGCUGGCGGCAGGCCUAACACAUGCAAGUCGAGCGGCAGCGGGAAAGUAGCUUGCUACUUUUGCCGGCGAGCGGCGGACGGGUGAGUAAUGCCUGGGGAUCUGCCCAGUCGAGGGGGAUAACUACUGGAAACGGUAGCCAAUACCGCAUACGCCCUACGGGGGAAAGCAGGGGACCUUCGGGCCUUGCGCGAUUGGAUGAACCCAGGUGGGAUUAGCUAGUUGGUGAGGUAAUGGCUCACCAAGGCGACGAUCCCUAGCUGGUCUGAGAGGAUGAUCAGCCACACUGGAACUGAGACACGGUCCAGACUCCUACGGGAGGCAGCAGUGGGGAAUAUUGCACAAUGGGGGAAACCCUGAUGCAGCCAUGCCGCGUGCGUGAAGAAGGCCUUCGGGUUGUAAAGCACUUUCAGCGAGGAGGAAAGGUUGGUAGCUAAUAACUGCCAGCUGUGACGUUACUCGCAGAAGAAGCACCGGCUAACUCCGUGCCAGCCGCCGCGGUAAGAC